AUUGAACGCUGGCGGCAGGCCUAACACAUGCAAGUCGAACGAGUGGCGGACGGGUGAGUAAUGUCUGGGAAACUUCCUGCUGGAGGGGGAUAACUACUGGAAACGGUAGCUAAAACCGCAUACCCUCAGAUGUACCCAGAUGGGAUUAGCUUGUUGGUGGGGUAACGGCUCACCAAGGCGACGAUCCCUAGCUGGUCUGAGAGGAUGACCAGCCACACUGGAACUGAGACACGGUCCAGACUCCUACGGGAGGCAGCAGUGGGGAAUAUUGCACAAUGGGCGCAAGCCUGAUACAGCCAUGCCGCGUGUAUGAAGAAGGCCUUCGGGUUGUAAAGUACUUUCAGCGGGGAGGCGUUACCCGCAGAAGAAGCACCGGCUAACUCCGUGCCAGCAGCCGCGGUAAUAC
rnacentral:rRNA from 1 species